UACGAGGGGGGCAAGCGUUGUUCGGAAUUAUUGGGCGUAAAGGGUGCGUAGGCGGUUUGGUAAGUCUUAUGUGAAAUCUACAGGCUCAACUUGUAGUCUGCAUGAGAAACUGCCGGGCUUGAGUAUGGGAGAGGUGAGUGGAAUUCCUGGUGUAGCGGUGAAAUGCGUAGAUAUCAGGAGGAACACCUGUGGCGAAAGCGGCUCACUGGACCAUAACUGACGCUGAUGCACGAAAGCUAGGGGAGCAAACAUG
rnacentral:rRNA from 1 species